GAUGAACGCUGGCGGCGUGCCUAAUACAUGCAAGUCGAACGCUGGAGAUCUAGCUUGCUAGAUCGAAGGAGUGGCGAACGGGUGAGUAAUACAUAAGCAACCUACCCACGAAGACUGGGAUAAUCUCUGGAAACGGGGACUAAUACCGGAUAGGUAAUCGGAAGGCAUCUUCUGGUUAUUAAAGGUUAAAAACCCUGGUGGAUGGGCUUAUGGCGCAUUAGUUAGUUGGUGAGGUAACGGCCCACCAAGACGAUGAUGCGUAGCCGGCCUGAGAGGGUGAACGGCCACAUUGGGACUGAGACACGGCCCAGACUCCUACGGGAGGCAGCAGUAGGGAAUUUUCGGCAAUGGGGGCAACCCUGACCGAGCAACGCCGCGUGAGUGAAGACGGCCUUCGGGUUGUAAAGCUCUGUUGUAAGGGAAGAACGGUAGAUAGAGAAUAUCUAAGUGACGGUACCUUACCAGAAAGCCACGGCUAACUACGUG
rnacentral:rRNA from 1 species